GCAUAGUUUUGGAGUGAGCCCUGAAGGGAGAAACUUUGGGUAGAAGCAAUCGUAAACCAUUGCCAUCAUGUGUGGUUGGUGUCAUUCGAAGAAAAUAUCCCUCAGAGACUGGUGUCUAUGUUGGAUUUCAAGAGGCGGAGGAGGCAAUUGAAAUGUUGUAACCAAGUUCCAUCCUUUGACCUCUUACAAGACACCAGAGCUGUAUUUUAUCUUGAAAAUGUGUAUCUUGAUUUGUUUUAUUUACUGUAAUAUUUUAUACUUCAAAUACAUUAUUGCAACAUCUA